UCCCCCAGUAGCGGCGAGCGAACGGGGAGCAGCCCAGAGCCUGAAUCAGUGUGUGUGUUAGUGGAAGCGUCUGGAAAGGCGCGCGAUACAGGGUGACAGCCCCGUACACAAAAAUGCACAUACUGUGAGCUCGAUGAGUAGGGCGGGACACGUGGUAUCCUGUCUGAAUAUGGGGGGACCAUCCUCCAAGGCUAAAUACUCCUGACUGACCGAUAGUGAACCAGUACCGUGAGGGAAAGGCGAAAAGAACCCCGGCGAGGGGAGUGAAAAAGAACCUGAAACCGUGUACGUACAAGCAGUGGGAGCACAGAGCAAUCUGUGUGACUGCGUACCUUUUGUAUAAUGGGUCAGCGACUUAUAUUCUGUAGCAAGGUUAACCGAAUAGGGGAGCCGAAGGGAAACCGAGUCUUAACUGGGCGUUAAGUUGCAGGGUAUAGACCCGAAACCCGGUGAUCUAGCCAUGGGCAGGUUGAAGGUUGGGUAACACUAACUGGAGGACCGAACCGACUAAUGUUGAAAAAUUAGCGGAUGACUUGUGGCUGGGGGUGAAAGGCCAAUCAAACCGGGAGAUAGCUGGUUCUCCCCGAAAGCUAUUUAGGUAGCGCCUCGUGAAUUCAUCUCCGGGGGUAGAGCACUGUUUCGGCAAGGGGGUCAUCCCGACUUACCAACCCGAUGCAAACUGCGAAUACCGGAGAAUGUUAUCACGGGAGACACACGGCGGGUGCUAACGUCCGUCGUGAAGAGGGAAACAACCCAGACCGCCAGCUAAGGUCCCAAAGUCAUGGUUAAGUGGGAAACGAUGUGGGAAGGCCCAGACAGCCAGGAUGUUGGCUUAGAAGCAGCCAUCAUUUAAAGAAAGCGUAAUAGCUCACUGGUCGAGUCGGCCUGCGCGGAAGAUGUAACGGGGCUAAACCAUGCACCGAAGCUGCGGCAGCGACGCUUAUGCGUUGUUGGGUAGGGGAGCGUUCUGUAAGCCUGUGAAGGUGUACUGUGAGGUAUGCUGGAGGUAUCAGAAGUGCGAAUGCUGACAUAAGUAACGAUAAAGCGGGUGAAAAGCCCGCUCGCCGGAAGACCAAGGGUUCCUGUCCAACGUUAAUCGGGGCAGGGUGAGUCGACCCCUAAGGCGAGGCCGAAAGGCGUAGUCGAUGGGAAACAGGUUAAUAUUCCUGUACUUGGUGUUACUGCGAAGGGGGGACGGAGAAGGCUAUGUUGGCCGGGCGACGGUUGUCCCGGUUUAAGCGUGUAGGCUGGUUUUCCAGGCAAAUCCGGAAAAUCAAGGCUGAGGCGUGAUGACGAGGCACUACGGUGCUGAAGCAACAAAUGCCCUGCUUCCAGGAAAAGCCUCUAAGCAUCAGGUAACAUCAAAUCGUACCCCAAACCGACACAGGUGGUCAGGUAGAGAAUACCAAGGCGCUUGAGAGAACUCGGGUGAAGGAACUAGGCAAAAUGGUGCCGUAACUUCGGGAGAAGG
rnacentral:rRNA from 1 species